rnacentral:rRNA from 1 species
CCUACGGUGGGCAGCAGUGGGGAAUAUUGCACAAUGGGGGAAACCCUGAUGCAGCGACGCCGCGUGAAUGAAGAAGUAUUUCGGUACGUAAACUCCUAUCAGCAGGGAAGAAGAUGACGGUAACUUUCCUAGAAGCCCCCGCCAACUACGGGCCAGCAGCCGAGGUAAUACCGAGGGGGCAAGCCGUAUCCGGAAUUACUGGGUGGAAAGGGGGCGGAGGCGGUUGAGGAAGCCAGAAGUGAAAGCCCGGGGCGCAACCCCGGGACUGCUUUUGGAACUGGUGGAGUAGAGUGCAGGAGAGGCAAGUGGAAUUCCUGGUGUAGCGGUGAAAUGCGUAGAUAUUAGGAGGAACACCAGUGGCGAAGGCGGCUUACUGGACUGUGAAUGACGCUGAGGCUCGAAAGCGUGGGGAGCAAACAGGAUUAGAUACCCUAGUAGUC